rnacentral:rRNA from 1 species
ACGGGAGAGACUAACAGGAUUCCCCUAGUAACUGCGAGUGAAGCGGGAAAAGCUCAAAUUUAAAAUCUGGUGGUCUCUGGCCAUCCGAGUUGUAAUCUAGAGAAGUGUUACCCGUGUCGGACCGUGUAUAAGUCUCCUGGAAUGGAGCGUCAUAGAGGGUGAGAAUCCCGUCUUUGACACGGACUACCGAGGCUUUGUGGUAUGCUCUCAAAGAGUCGAGUUGUUUGGGAAUGCAGCUCAAAAUGGGUGGUAAAUUCCAUCUAAAGCUAAAUAUUGGCGAGAGACCGAUAGCGAACAAGUACCGUGAGGGAAAGAUGAAAAGAACUUUGGAAAGAGAGUUAAACAGUACGUGAAAUUGCUGAAAGGGAAACGCUUGAAGUCAGUCGCGUUGGCCGGGAAUCAGCCUUGCUUUUGCUUGGUGUACUUUCUGGUUGACGGGCCAGCAUCAGUUUUGACCGGUGGAAAAAGUUCAGGGGAAUGUGGCAUCUUCGGGUGUGUUAUAGCCCUUGUUCGUAUACAUCGGUUGGGACUGAGGAACUCAGCACGCCGCAAGGCCGGGUCUUUGACCACGUUCGUGCUUAGGAUGCUGGCAUAAUGGCUUUAAUCGACCCGUCUUGAAACACGGACCAAGGAGUCUAACAUGCCUGCGAGUGUUUGGGUGGAAAACCCGAGCGCGUAAUGAAAGUGAAAGUUGAGAUCCUUGUCAUGAUGAGGAGCAUCGACGCCCGGACCUGACGUCUUCUGACGGUGCUGCAGUACAUCAUGUAUGUUGGGACCCGAAAGAUGAUGAACUAUGCCUGAAUAGGGUGAAGCCAGAGGAAACUCUGGUGGAUGCUCGUAACGAUUCUGACGUGCAAAUCGAUCGUCAAAUUUGGGUAUAGGGACGAACGACUAAUCGAAUCAUCUAGUAGCUGGUUCUGCAUUU